rnacentral:lncRNA from 1 species
AUGUUUUGGAAGCAGGACCAAAAUAGAGAUAGCAUUUGCGUACAGUUGUCUAUUUAAUCUAUGUUAAAUGAGAGUACUAAAAGGUUUUAAUAGUUUAAACCCCAGAUUGAAAUAAGAUUAAAAAGUAUUCUUUGCUAUUUAGGCUUGAAUUUGAAGAUCAGAGAGGACUUAACUACAGUUACGAAAGGUAGAGGGAUAUAGAUUUUAUGGUUAGAUAAUCAGGCAGCUAAAAGCUGCAAUAAAGGAUAGACUUAUUUUUAGUCAUAGGAAAUGGACCUCUAUGCAUUAGCAGUUAGAAGGAAAUCAUACCCUUUUUGAACUACAAAAACUGCCUUGAAUUUUUCCCCUAUGUGUCUCCUUUAAAUAUUUUAGGGAACUUAUAAGUUUAUUUUCUAACCAAGAAAGCACUUAGGUCUCUUUAAGAAGCAGUAAUUUUUCAUAACCUCAGAUUGAAUAACCCACUUUGCUGUGCAGCCUACAUCCCACUGGAGAAAAAAGCAUUCUUUGCAGAAAGAAAGGGGAGAGAACGUGAAAGGAGAAGUGGAGAGAAGCUGGAGAAGAAGAAAUAGCUGGAAGCUUGGGAAUUGGGGGAUUUACCUAAGGCUGACCAGUUUCCUGGUGUGUUACCUGCUUCUGCUACUGAUCCAAACUGCAGAACUUAUUCAUCCCCAUGGCCUCCAGACAGUAUCCAAUGGGGAAUCCGAUCUAAAAGGAACCAGACCUACGUUUUCCAGCCCUUCAUUCUGGUUUCUUGGACUGGAGACAUUUCUUUAAUAAUAGCGUGUCUCUGAUAUUCCCAGUAACAACUACUAUCGAGGAAAGGAUAGAAAACGUUCAGGACAUCAUCAUAUAGACUCCUCAUCUACAAAGUUCAGUAACGGUGACGCCUACACAGAAGACUUGGAACUGCAAACAGGCUGGGGUCACCUCAGUGACAUCUCUUGAUGCACAAACAGAAGUUUGAUUUUUG